UAAGGAAUAUUGGCCAAUGGGCGAAAGCCUGAACCAGCCAUGCCGCGUGAAGGAUGAAGGCCCUCGGGUUGUAAACUGCUUUUGUACGGAACGAAACGGCCUGCUUUAAUACAGCGGGCUAAUGACGGUACCGUAAGAAUAAGCACCGGCUAACUACGUG
rnacentral:rRNA from 1 species